rnacentral:rRNA from 1 species
GACGAACGCUGGCGGCGUGCCUAAUACAUGCAAGUAGAACGCUGAAGGAGGAGCUUGCUUCUCUGGAUGAGUUGCGAACGGGUGAGUAACGCGUAGGUAACCUGCCUGGUAGCGGGGGAUAACUAUUGGAAACGAUAGCUAAUACCGCAUAAUAGUAGAUGUCGCAUGACAUUUGCUUAAAAGGUGCAAUUGCAUCACUACCAGAUGGACCUGCGUUGUAUUAGCUAGUUGGUGAGGUAACGGCUCACCAAGGCAACGAUGCAUAGCCGACCUGAGAGGGGGAUCGGCCACACUGGGACUGAGACACGGCCCAGACUCCUACGGGAGGCAGCAGUAGGGAAUCUUCGGCAAUGGACGGAAGUCUGACCGAGCAACGCCGCGUGAGUGAAGAAGGUUUUCGGAUCGUAAAGCUCUGUUGUAAGAGAAGAACGAGUGUGAGAGUGGAAAGUUCACACUGUGACGGUAUCUUACCAGAAAGGGACGGCUAACUACGUG